rnacentral:misc_RNA from 1 species
GGAGAGCACUGGGAUUCCAUUUCUUCCUACUCCAAUGGGCAAAGGGUUGUUGCCUGAUACACAUGAGCUAGCGGCUACCGCCGCUAGGUCAUUGGCGAUUGGUAAGUGCGAUGUUGCGCUUGUGGUUGGCGCAAGGCUUAAUUGGUUGUUGCAUUUUGGCGAGCCACCUAAAUGGUCCAAGGAUGUGAAGUUCAUCUUGGUUGAUAUUUGCAAGGAGGAGGUUGAAUUAAGAAAGCCCCAUUUGGGUUUGAUUGGCGAUGCAAAAGAGGUAUUGGAAUCCAUAAACAGGGAGAUUAAGGAUAACCCAUUUUGUC